rfam:Schistosoma curassoni strain Dakar, Senegal genome assembly, scaffold: SCTD_scaffold0001774
AGCUUUUUGAAUCCGUGUAGAGAUUUCGUCAGACAUCAAAGUAUCACGGCUGAUCAGACUUUCAGGAAUAGUGAAGUU